rnacentral:ncRNA from 2 species
UAUAUUCUUCGGGGCGAGGGGAAGAUCCUCACCGGCGGUUAUAGCCCGCGAAUCCCAACCGAAAGUGUUGGGACUGAACAGAUGAAAUUUCUGUGCCGACGGUAUAGUCCGGAUGGUAGAAGAAUAAG